ensembl:lncRNA FAM86B3P family with sequence similarity 86, member A pseudogene
GAGAGCCGCUUCCUAGUGGCGCGCACACUGCGCUCCUUCCCCUGGCAGGUGGGCGGCGGGGCGAGCGGAGAGGCCCGCGGGGCUCGCGGAGUCCAGGGGCAGACGGGAUGGGUCUCCGUGCUGAAACCCCCGGCGCUCCUGCCACAGCUUAGAGGCAAAGUUAAGAGACUCAUCAGAUUCUGAGCUGCUGCAGGAUAUUUUGCAGAAGCCCUCGGGAGGCUCGGUCACACUCUCCGAAAGCAUGGCCAUCAUCUCCCACAGCACCACGGGUCUGGUCACAUGGGAUGCCGCCCUCUACAUUGCAGAAUGGGCCAUCGAGAACCCGGCAGCCUUCACUCACAGAUGUGCUGUAUUGCCCAGAAGCCAUUGUGUCACUGGUCAGGGUCCUGCGGAGGCUGGCUGCCUGCCGGGAGCACCAGCGGGCUUCUGAGGUCUACGUGGCCUUCGCUGUCCGCAAUUGAGAGACGUGCCAGCUGUUCACCACCGAGCUAGGUUUUUGCUUGUCUGAUGACUGAUGGCUCCACCCAGACCUGCCAACCACUCCCGCGGCCCCAUCCAGAAGUGGCUCAGCGUGCAUGAGGACCAUCUCCAACAUCCCUGUGAUUGUACCCCCAACCAACCAGCAGCAAGAACCUAUUGCCUAGUCACCUCCCCUCUCUUUCCCCAACUAUCAUUGAAAAAGUCUGGCUUCCAAAUUUUCCGGGAGACUGAUUUGGGUAAUAAUAAAACUCCAGUCUUCUGUUCAGCCAGCUCUGCAUGAAUUAAGCUCUUUCUCUAUUGCAAUUUUCCUGUCUUGAUAAAUUGUCUCUACCUGGGCAGGGGGCAAAAUGAACCCAUAGGGUGGUUACAGUACCUUGCUGGGUCACUUGAUAUUCCUGGAGGGUCACGGGAAGCGCUAUGUGAAUCCCACUUCUGAUAUUGUAAGAUUCUCUCCAGGGCCUGAAAGCUUAAGGGGUUGAGCAACUCCUCCCUUCUCAGGCCCAGCCCCAGGGCGCAAGGCCGCUUGCAUCAGCAGCGUGCGUGAGCAGAUGCGCCAGCAAGAUAGCAAAAGCAGGAAGAGAGCCAGCCGGAAGACAAGUACCUCUGAAGAUGGAGAAAGAGGCCAUCUGGGUACAACGUUGCAGUUACGUCAGACCAGGACACUUCCUGUUUACAGGAGACUAUAAAACCUUUGCCCCAUCCUCACUUGGGGCUGACGCCGUUUUAGGCCUCAGCCCGCCAGCACCCAGGCUCUCAUUAAAACAGCAUGUUGCUCCACA